rnacentral:rRNA from 1 species
UUCCAGACUCCUACGGGAGGCAGCAGUGAGGAAUAUUGGUCAAUGGCCGGAAGGCUGAACCAGCCAAGUCGCGUGAGGGAAUAAGGCCCUAUGGGUCGUAAACCUCUUUUGUCAGGGAGCAAAGGCGUCCACGAGUGGACGAAAGGAGAGUACCUGAAGAAAAAGCAUCGGCUAACUCCGUGCCAGCAGCCGCGGUAAUACGGAGGAUGCGAGCGUUAUCCGGAUUUAUUGGGUUUAAAGGGUGCGUAGGGGGAGUGUCAAGUCAGCGGUAAAUUUGAGGGGCUCAACCUCUUCGAGCCGUUGAAACUGGUUUUCUUGAGUGAGUGAGAAGUAUGCGGAAUGCGUGGUGUAGCGGUGAAAUGCAUAGAUAUCACGCAGAACUCCGAUUGCGAAGGCAGCAUACCGGCGCUCAACUGACGCUCAUGCACGAAAGUGUGGGUAUCGAACAGGAUUAGAUACCCGUGUA